ACGGCAGCUGCAUUUCAAAGCAAUGAUGGGAAUACAUGUAGAAUCAUUCUUUUUUGUUGUCUGUCCAGAAAAUAUAAACUGGUCCUGGGAAGAGAACUGGCAGGGAGAAUAGGAGUGACAGGGGCAAACAACAGAUCCCUGAUCUUCCAAACAGACCUGGAUUCUUCCACAACAGAUCCAGAUUCUCCCAUAACAGCAUCCCAAUUGAAGAGAGAAGCAAGAAUUCGGGAGCAUCUCCUGGUCAGCCGUCUUUCCCAGUGUUCUCACUUUGUUGGGUGAAGGGACCCAGAGGCUUCACAAAUUGCAAUCCCGUGAAAACAGCCUGUCUCACACACGACGACAAAUACAUGCCUUUUACAGUGCAGUUCUGUGCAGAAGUAGAUUUGGAAGUCGUCGGAAUUGUGAAGUACAUAAAGGAAACAGCAUCGUUCUUCAAACUUGGAGAUACUGAAACAAACCAACCGAAAACUCACGUUACUUAGACAGACAUCAUCACUUUCGCAGAUCCCUAACGAAAAGGAAGCACUUUUAAUAUUUAACCCGCUACGGCACACUGCCAUUUUAUAGACAGCACUUUCGAGACCCAUAGUCCCCAUACCAUAAUACCAGCAUUCUGUAUUACCCUAUUCAUUUGUCAGUGCGGGGCUGUUCUGCUGGGUGAUGUGAGCCACAUGUUGGGUUUGGCAUGGAAGCGAGUCUGGUCUGGCAUAGCCUUGACCGAGCUGAGAGGGAAGCUUAUAUUCAUCCCAACUAACUGGCCUCAGUGGUUCAAGGCCUGUGGGAGAUGCUUCCAGAGCUAGGGAGACCGGCCAUACAGGUAGAGGCACUGCUCAGGCUGUAGAGAUUUUAAAGGAGCGAAGCAAAGUGGAGCAGCACUGGGAUUGGGCGUAGCGAGUGCUUUAUUUUAGAACAACAUGAAGAGUUUGGAGUUUGGUAAGUUAGGCCAUGGUGGUUUAUGAUAGCCGUUAGCCAAUGUUUUCUGUAGUGGGCCCGGUAGUAAAAUAUCUUAGGUCUGACAGGCCAAACCGCUCAGUUCUGCUAUUGGAGCAAGGAAGCCUUAGCUACAAGUGAGGCUGUGGCUGUUGUGUAACAAAACUUUAUUGAUAUGACAAGCCACGGUCCCCAUUGGGUCCAUGAACGUAACUUGUCAGGCUGUAUUCAAUCACCUUUGGAUCUCCUCAUUUUGGAACGCACAGCAUCACUUGGCUUUUGAGAAAGGUCUUCUUCCUAUGUGCCUCAGAGUGAACUCACACUCACUACAAAAUCCAGACUGACCCUGAAUUCAUGAUUUUCUCGCCCUGGCCUCCUGAGCACAAGGACUACAGGUAUGUGCGACCAUGCCUGGAUUUUAUUAUUUUCCAAGACUUAAAAAUAGACUCUAGUCAUCUAAGGCCAGGCGAGCCCUCUCCUAUCCUAGUUAUUUCUACUCCAGACAGAAGGACUUUGUGCUUCUCUUCUCUAAAUGUGUUCCUUGUAUGUCCUUACUCAUCUCUUGCCACACUGUGCCUGUUCUUAAAAUGCUUGUUCCCCAUCCCCAGUCCUUACCUGAUGGCAAAUAUUCAAGAGGACGUCCUAUCUUUGCCGCCUUCCUAUCUUUAGCAGAAUAGGACUCAAUAUGGUACGCAGCUGGUGCUCAAUAAAUGCCACUGACUUGAGCUGGGUACCUGGGUGACGCCAGGCAAACUGCUGACCAAGCUGGGUUAUUCCUUAGUUUGUCACCCUUUCUUUAUAGAGGAGGAAGCCGGGCAAAGGUGGCCGUCUUUGAAGUCACAGAGCAGAACUCAAGUUUCCCAAGAGGUGAACCAUCGAUCACCAGAUGGAGGCACGACAUCUACACGCUGUGAGUCACAAGAACUGUAAGGAAGGGCUGCCGGGCCUAAUUAACAAGGGCUAAUUCAUUGUAUAACAGAUCUGAUGAGGCAAAAUGCAUAGCAACUACAGCGAAUGGACUGUUGAAGAAGGCAGCAGUAAGGAGUUGCCUUGCUAAACGAGCGGUUUAGGGACUGAAUAUUAAGAGUGCAAACCUUUGCGAACGUAUCGAUUGGAAAGGCAUGAGUCGGCCGCUUAAUCUCGCUUGCCUCUAUUCGAUCACUCAUGAGGUAACAGGCAGCUCCACCAGGGAAACUAAAAUUAUCUGUGACUCACUGCUCUGCCAGUUCAUGCCCUAACACAGCCAGCUACAACCCUUGCAAAAGCAACAGGAUGUUGCACAAGCGGCGGACAGAAGUCUGCUGUCUCCCAUCUCCACCAUGUGGGGGUAGCAAACAGUAGGAAACAGAAUCCAGUUUAAACGCUGAGUGAGUCUAGAAGCCCAGGCUUCCAGAUGACAAAAGUUUCAAACACUUAACCGUUGACAAUGGAUUCUGACCGGUAACCUUCCUUUUCAUUCCCAGGAGAGAGCUUCUUUUUUUUUUUUUUUUUUUUUUUUUACCCUGAGCCACUGGCGUUAUGACAAGGUUUUGGAACUGAACUGGUUUGUCACUGUGACCUCACACACAUAAUUGCUUCAACAGUGACCUUGGGGGAGAUUUUAAUGAGUUUCUUAUUCGUAUGGAGUUCCAGGUCCAGGGUGUAGCCUGGGAGAUGUCCUGCAUAGUUUGGGUCUACAGAUUCUUAGUUCCUGGUAACAUAAAGGUCAGGAAGCCAUCUUACAGCCUUCACUAAAAGGUCAGUCAGCAGGAGAGGACCUCUACACGGCUCCCUGUUAGCCACGGUUCACAUUUACCCCAGAGUCAUAAGCAUGGGGUCAGUUCAGGGAUCCAUGAUGGUGAGGUACUGCUCACAACAGGCAGAGGCUGAAGGCUGAGCCUUUACAACGCAGAAGGAUUCCUGAAAUGUUUUUCAAACGUGAAUGAUGGACUUAAUUUAAUAAAAUAUGCUAAGAGGAUCUCAGAAAAGUAUGUCUUCUAUGUACACCAAACGGAGCAGGGAAACUUACCUCACCCCCCUGACAGAGGAAGCGUUAAAGUUCCACUCAUGGAUACCCUUCUGAAACACAGGAGAAGAUGAGCGAUGAUACAUGGGGGGAAACAUCAUAAAAUCAUUUAGUUUUAUUUUUAAUAACAAAGUCAUUUCUCCUGAUGUGUAGCUCCUCAGGAGGGUCAAUUCAGCCCGAGCCCACAAGGGUGAUGCUUACUUAACAGUUCCUGUGCCUCAAGACAAGAGCUUUCAAAAAGCCCGGAAGAAUUACUGUCAUUAAACCCGAAAGCUUAAUCUUAGUUGUAACUACCAUUUUUUAAUUUGAGUUUAAAAAAAAAAAAAGACCAAAGUAAAACAACAAGAAACCAGUGAUCAAGGUAAUUCGAUUGUGUGGUUAAGAGGGUCAUUUCCUUUUGGGAAAAACUUCUAAUGAUUUCCUAUGCCUUUGUGUGCUUGAACACACAUGUCUGGGGUUUGUAAGCACAUACGUGCAAACGCAUGUGGAGGCCAUACGAUAACUUCACGUGUCCUUCCUUGGCUUCUCCAUUGGUGUGGAGCUUGUCUCUUGAGUCCCACGGGCAACUGUUUCUACCUCCCCAGGCUUGGGAGUGCGAUACAUGCUACACCCCUGGGGUUUUCUCAUGUUGGUUCUGAGAAUAAAACUCGACUCUGGAACUUGUAUGGAGUACGGUACUGACCAAGCUAUCUCCCCGACUUGGCAUCUAUUCUCCCAGAAAGAAAAGCAAUCAAUCUGAACAAAGCCUCUGUAAUUGUUUCUGAAGUACCUUCUCCCUUCCGAAAGACAAGCCUUAGUGUAUAGCCCUGCUGGCCAUGAACGUCUGUUGUCUCAGCUCGUUGAGCGCUGGGAUUCCAGAAGCUACUGCAGUCAGCUUGGAACUAACGUCAGGCUGCUCUGCCCGGGGCCACCUUUCCCUACAGUGCUCUAAAGUUCGAAGCUGAAGCUGCAGUCAGUGCCCUGGAGACUCCGGACCUUCACGGCUAGAGGGACUCACCACAGGGAGGCAGUGGUGAGCUGCAAAGU